CCUACGUGCGGCUGCAGUGGGGAAUAUUGCUCAAUGGGCGAAAGCCUGACGCAGCGACGCCGCGUGAGGGAUGAAGGUCUUCGGAUCGUAAACCUCUGUCAGCAGGGAAGAACGGUCACUGUGCUAAUCAGCAGUGAAUUGACGGUACCUGCAAAGGAAGCACCGGCUAACUCCGUGCCAGCAGCCGCGGUAAUACGGAGGGUGCGAGCGGUAAUCGGAAUUACUGGGCGUAAAGCGCUCGUAGGCGGUAUGUCAAGUCAAGGGUGAAAUCCCCGCGCUCAACGUGGGAACUGCCUUUGAAACUGGCAAACUGGAGUGUGGGAGAGGAUAGUGGAAUGCCAGGUGUAGGAGUGAAAUCCGUAGAUAUCUGGAGGAACAUCAGUGGCGAAGGCGACUAUCUGGCACAUAACUGACGCUGAGGAGCGAAAGCGUGGGUAGCAAACAGGAUUAGAUACCCUAGUAGUC
rnacentral:rRNA from 1 species